rnacentral:rRNA from 1 species
GACGAACGCUGGCGGCGUGCUUAACACAUGCAAGUCGAACGGAAAGGCCCUGCUUUUGUGUGGUGCUCGAGUGGCGAACGGGGGAGUAACACGUGAGUAACCUGCCCUUGACUUUGGGAUAACUUCAGGAAACUGGGGCUAAUACCGGAUAGGAGCUCCUGCUGCAUGGUGGGGGUUGGAAAGUUUCGGCGGUUGGGGAUGGACUCGCGGCUUAUCAGCUUGUUGGUGAGGUAGUGGCUUACCAAGGCUUUGACGGGUAGCCGGCCUGAGAGGGUGACCGGCCACAUGGGGACUGCGGUACGGACCAGACUCCUACGGGAGGCAGCAGUGGGGAAUAUUGCACAAUGGGCGGAAGCCUGAUGCAGCAACGCCGCGUGCGGGAUGACGGCCUUCGGGUUGUAAACCGCUUUCGCCUGUGACGAAGCGUGAGUGACGGUAAUGGGUAAAGAAGCACCGGCUAACUACGUG